GUGGGGAAUAUUGGACAAUGGGGGGAACCCUGAUCCAGCCAUGCCGCGUGUGUGAAGAAGGCCUUUUGGUUGUAAAGCACUUUAAGCGAGGAGGAGGCUACCGAGAUUAAUACUCUUGGAUAGUGGACGUUACUCGCAGAAUAAGCACCGGCUAACUCUGUGCCAGCAGCCGCGGUAAUACAGAGGGUGCAAGCGUUAAUCGGAUUUACUGGGCGUAAAGCGCGCGUAGGUGGCCAAUUAAGUCAAAUGUGAAAUCCCCGAGCUUAACUUGGGAAUUGCAUUCGAUACUGGUUGGCUAGAGUAUGGGAGAGGAUGGUAGAAUUCCAGGUGUAGCGGUGAAAUGCGUAGAGAUCUGGAGGAGUACCGAUGGCGAAGGCAGCCAUCUGGCCUAAUACUGACACUGAGGUGCGAAAGCAUGGGGAGCAAACAGGAUUAGAAACCCGAGUAGUCC
rnacentral:rRNA from 1 species